GACAGAGGGGGCAAGCGUUGCUCGGAAUCACUGGGCGUAAAGGGCGCGUAGGCGGGAUGGCAAGUCGGUCGUGAAAUCCUUCGGCUCAACCGAAGAACGUCGGCCGAUACUGCUGUUCUUGAGGGAUGCAGAGGAGAUUGGAGUUCCCGGUGUAGCGGUGAAAUGUGUAGAGAUCGGGAGGAACACCGGUGGCGAAGGCGGGUCUCUGGGCAUUUCCUGACGCUGAGGCGCGAAAGCGUGGGGAGCAAACGGG
rnacentral:rRNA from 1 species